CCAAUAGCGUAUAUUAAAGUUGUUGCAGUUAAAAAGCUCGUAGUUGAACUUCGGGAUCAAUAUGUCGGUCGUGCCUCCGGUACGUACUGGCAUGAUUGAUUUCUCCCUUCUGACGAACCAUGAUGUCAUUAAUUUGGUGUCAUGGGGAGUCAGGACUGUUACUUUGAAAAAAUUAGAGUGUUUAAAGCAGGCUCACGCUUGAAUACAUUAGCAUGGAAUAAUGAAAUAGGACGUUUGAUCCUAUUUUGUUGGUUUCUAGGAUCAACGUAAUGAUUAAUAGGGAUAGUUGGGGGCAUUAGUAUUCAAUUGUCAGAGGUGAAAUUCUUGGAUUUAUUGAAGACUAACUACUGCGAAAGCAUUUGCCAAGGAUGUUUUCAUUAAUCAAGAACGAAAGUUAGGGGAUCGAAGACGAUCAGAUACCGUCGUAGUCUUAACCAUAAACUAUGCCGACUAGGGAUCGGAUGAUGUUAAUUUUUUAAUGACUCAUUCGGCGCCUUACG
rnacentral:rRNA from 1 species